GAAGCUAAUCAGAUGAUCGCGGAGGUAGGGACCGAAAGGUCGCCUCUGAGGAAAGUCCGAGCUCCAUAGGGCAAGGUGCUGGGUAACGCCCAGUGGGGGUGACCCCAAGGAAAGUGCAACAGAGAGAUACCGCCUCGCACUCAGCAUGCUGAGUGUUGGGUAAGGGUGGAAAGGCGAGGUAAGAGCUCACCGGCAGUCAGGUGACUGGCUGGCCAUGUAAACCCCACCUGGAGCAAGACUGAAUAGGGGAACUAUGAACGGCCCGUUUUUGUUCCCGGGUAAGGUCGCUAGAGGCUGUCGGUAACGGCAGUUCGAGACAGAUGAUCAUCACCUCCAUACGGAGGAACAGAACUCGGCUUAUAGAUUGACUUCGCCU
rnacentral:RNase_P_RNA from 2 species